GAGGUGGGAAAGUAGUCGAGGUGGAGAAAUCUGAUGUUGCCGGUGUGACUUGGUCGAAAGUUCCCCGCAGCUAUCAACUCGGUGUUAAGACUAAGGAUGGAUUGUUUUUCAAGUUCAUUGGCUUCCGUGAGCAGGAUGUCACGAGCUUAACUACUUUUAUCCAAAAAUCCAUUGGAGUAACACCAGAAGAGAAGCAACUUGCUGUCUCUGGCCGUAACUGGGGUGAAAUUGAUCUGAGCGGAAACAUGCUUACAUUUAUGGUAGGUUCGAAGCAAGCAUUUGAAGUUUCUUUAGCAGAUGUUGCACAAACACAGCUUCAAGGAAAAACUGAUGUUUACUUGGAAUUUCAUGUGGACGAUACUACUGGGGCGAAUGAGAAAGAUUCGCUUAUGGAUUUGAGUUUCCACAUACCGAAUUCCAAUACUCAAUAUGUUGGUGAUGAAAAUCGUCCUCCAGCCCAGGUAUUUUUAGAUACCAUCUCAUCAAUGGCUGAUGUGGGUCAUUCAAGUGAUGAAGCUGUUGUCACAUUUGAAGGAAUUGCAAUUCUUACACCAAGAGGGCGGUACAGUGUUGAACUUCACUUGUCGUUCUUGCGGCUCCAGGGACAAGCUACUGAUUUUAAAAUUCAGUACGCUAGUGUAGUUCGGCUUUUUCUACUGCCAAAGUCCAAUCAACCUCAUACUUUUGUUGUCGUAACCCUUGAUCCACCGAUCAGGAAAGGCCAAACACUGUACCCGCAUAUUGUACUUCAGUUUGAAACAGAGGCUAUAGUUGAUAGCCCUCUUAAUCUAAGUGAGGAGCUCUUGGCAACAAAAUACAAGGAUAAGCUGUUACCAUCA
rnacentral:misc_RNA from 1 species